rnacentral:lncRNA from 1 species
CAGUCAAGACUGUAAACCAGGAGACAGCCCUCCCGCCCUGGCUCCCCUGCAAGAAAAUAUCCAGCACUACCUUUUGUGAGGAAUACGAAGAUCUCUUCAAGAUCCUGUUUUCAAUUUCUUUGGAUAAAUACUUUAUCCAGAAGUACCUGAAUGUGCUAUGAUGAUACAGACAGCUACAGGGCCCAUCGAUCAAUAUUCAGGUUCCAAGUCCUUGUGGAGCUCAAGUUCCCAGCACAUCUCUUCCCUAAUCUUAAUGGCCGGCCAUCAGCUUCUCUGGAAGCAGGAUCCAUGGGCUUGUCUCCACUUCAGAGGACUGAGCUGGGAUUCCAACUGGACUGACCAACUCGCGGUGCUGGAGGGAGGAAGCAUCCUGGAAGCAGAAGGAGACGUCCUAUUCCCCAGGCAGGAAGGUAUCCCGAUGCCCCCGGAGAGCACGCAUGAGGGUCAAGGCUUUGACAGCAAUCACCUUUCCUCAUAACCCGCUGCCCCCUUCCAUGUUAACACACUGUGAACGGAGCCGAAGUGACAGAACCAAUCCAUCACCCCAGAGGAACACAGAGAGGAAUAGAGAGGUUAACAGAAAUUGAUGACAUCCCCGCUGGAAUUUUACACUGAUUCGGCCGGCCCCGAAAUUGAAAUAGACAAAGAUUUAUAGUCCGAGCGAGGAUGCGGGCUCCUCUUGAUUGCCUUGAUUUUUUUAUGCGCUCCUGCAUAUUUAUUCCCAAGCUCAUCACCGGCUUGUAGCAUUAGAAUGCUGAUCUGAUUGUGCAUUCCGAGAAGAGGCAGCAUUAUGCAACCAUUUACAUGAUGUGAGAGAAAUCACCAGAACGGCGGCUGAUAUCAGCGGCCAAAAUGAU